rnacentral:misc_RNA from 1 species
AAGACUAUAGACCUGCGGAGUACCUGCGGAGGGAUCAUUACCGAGUGCGGGCCCUCUGGGUCCAACCUCCCACCCGUGUCUAUUGUACCUUGUUGCUUCGGCGGGCCCGCCAUUCUGGCCGCCGGGGGGCUUGCCCCCGGGCCCGCGCCCGCCGAAGACACCCUCGAACUCUGUCUGAAGAUUGUAGUCUGAGUGGAAUUAUAAAUUAUUAAAACUUUUAACAAUGGAUCUCUAGAUCGG